rnacentral:sRNA from 1 species
AUAAAAACACUGGAAAUUAAGUGCUCAUUCAAAGAUGAUGUACUGCUUAGGCAGUGGUAAGGCUUUCUGCGCUACCUCUUUUCUAGUCUGCCUCACUCCUAACAUAGAGGAACUACCUCAAAGGGUGAGAGGGGAGAUUCAUCUCCGUGCUCAUUAAAUCUUUAACUUUA